rnacentral:lncRNA from 1 species
AGACACAUUACGCCCAAACCUGGCCCACUAACUCCACAAACCCCAUGUGUUUAAGUCAAGUAGGAGAGCAGUGCCCCUUCUGGUGCAGUCUUACCAUGCAAAUGCCUACUUACGUGAAAGCUUCACUUCCUGCAAAGCCAGCAGUUCAGAAUGUUCUCAUUAGUCCACAAUUAAUUGGGUCUAAAAACAGUCUUAUUUCCACUAAUACGAUGUCACAAAGCACAGCCAGUGAGUCAGCAGAGGAGCUGAAGAGAAAACAUGGAGGUGAGAAGGAUGGGGAUGACAGCCUUCGGAAUGCGUGUAUCUUAACGUGUUGCAAAGUCCAUUGUACAGGGAAGUCAGCAUGCUGAUGUUUUGAAGGUGCAUCAUGAAAAUAGUAU